UACGAAGGGGGCUAGCGUUGCUCGGAAUCACUGGGCAUAAAGCGCACGUAGGCGGCGGCGUAAGUUGGAUGUGAAAUCCCCCGGCCCAACCGGGGAACUGCGUCCAGUACUGCGUUGCUUGAGGAUCCAAGGGGUGCAUGGAAUUCCCGGUGGAGCGGUGAAAUGCGUUGAUAUCGGGAGGAACUCCGGCGGCGAAAGCGGUGCACUGGUGGAUUACUGACGCUGAGGUGCGAAAGCCAGGGGAGCAAACGGG
rnacentral:rRNA from 1 species